GCAAGAGUGUUGGAAUAGGUAGACAAGCACGUUUGAGGUGCGUGUGGCAACCGCCGUGGGAGUUCGAGUCUCCUCUCUUGCACCA
rnacentral:tRNA from 2 species